CUCAGGAGCUGAGGGGCAUUCCUGACCCCGCCUGACAACCAUGGAGACUCCAUGACUCAGUCCUCCAGGGCACAGCCGCCCAGGGUGUACUCUGUCACAGAAACGGUGGGAAUCUGAUGGGCGGACACACGUCACGGGUAAGGAAGGCAGGGCACACGGACAGGAGAGGAGCCCCCGCCCCGACUGCAGCUCAGACCCCUCUGCGCCUCAGGGCAGCCCCACCCUCACUGCCGGGGACACGGCACCAUCGCGAGGAGGAAACGCGUGCGCUCCAGUGCCGGCCCAGCCAGAGCGCAGCCCCCUUGCUGUCGUUCACACUGCUGCUGUGUCUGCCUGCCGGGACCCACCGGGCCGCACUGCAGGGAGAGGACUGGGGCGAAGGGCUCCCUCCCGCCUCCUAGGUCUCCGCCCUCCUUUAGGAAACCUCAGACUCUGUUCCGUCUGCAUUCUCACCAGCAGGCUCCAAGGCCAGGUGCCCGCUGGCUCCGUGCUGCAGGAGGGAGGCUGGUCUGCACUGGUCCCCAGCAGCUGCUCUUCUGCUGUUGACUGGGUCCCGGGUGUGGGGCUGUCACCUAAACCCUCCCUGGGGACCCCCACCAGAAACUCCAACAUCCGGCAAGGUUUCCACCCUUCCCUGCCUCUUAACCCAGGAGAGGAGACUCAGAAAGUCCAAGCACAGCAGUCCUCAGGCUCUAAGACAGUUUGUAGGGAGGCAGUCGUCACGGUCAGGGGACUCGCCGUAGGACUCUGGGGAGCCAGUCAGGGUGGUCCUGGGGGUAUCUGACUGUCCCCUGCACCCACGGUGGCCGUGGGCACUGCAGCCUCGGAGCUCGGAGUUAGUCAUGCAUGGAGCAGUCUGUGCUGUCUGGAUUCGUCCUCAGGUGGGGCAUAGAGCACUCACCCCUCUGCCGUGUGGCUCACGCUCAGGGGAGACCAGGUGGCCCUCGGAGGGCGUCCAGGCCUCACUUGGGCCUCUGCUGCCCUGUGGCGAUGGCAGAGCUGACACCUUUAGGGACGGAGCACGCUG
rnacentral:lncRNA from 1 species